GUCCACGCCCCGCGACGGACGGGCGCCUCGGCCAAUCGGCGCGCGGGGGCGGGCCCGGCGACCGGGAGGGACGCCUAGUCGGCGCGGCCGCUGCAGUCCGCCGCGGCGCCGGCCGGGGGUGUCCGGGGGCGAGCCUCAGCCCGGGGCGGCGCGGGGACCUUGGCCGGCGCUCCCGCGGCGCGCACGGCUGAGGCAGGGGGUGCAGACCUGGGCGUAGCGCCGGCGCCCUCCCGCGGGCCCCUCUCGCUUCCCCGCUGCGGCCGCGCUCGCCUAGCCCCGAAAGCGUCCUCCCUCCCGGGGCCCGCCGGGCUCCCGAGAGCCGGCAGCGGCUGAACGUCGGGAGCUGGGCGGUUCGCGCCGACGCCAAGCGUGCGGCUGCUCCUUUACUAGAUCAUUGUAAUACUUUGGAAAAUCCCAAAGUAGAACCACGCAAAAAUGGCCCUUGGCGUGCUGUGGGGAGCCCCAGGACUAGUCUGUCCUUCCAGAGCCUGUGUGAGAAGAAGAAGAACAGUGAUGUUCUGGGACCCUGUGGCAGGCAGGCACUCAGUCCUUGGGCUGAACGCAGAAGGAGGCUCCCAAGGGCUGGUGAAUCCUUGGUGGAGCUAACGAGGAAGCUGAGAGGAGCCAGAAAGAGAGAACAGGGAGAUCAUUCUGCAGCCCCACUCCAAGUGCAUCUGACAGCACAGUGAUUCAAAAUGUGGCCAGGUCUCAAGCACCUCCAGACACCAGGGGUCGAGAGGAUCCUGCCAUCAAGCAGACAGUCUGGGAAAACAUGAGGAGUCCCAGGGAGCCUGGGCAGGAGAGUUGUCCCAUGCCCCAUCCUUUAGGUAGCUCUGGCCCAUGAGAAGAUAAGAAACUGGACACCACCUACAAUAGGAUCAGAUAAGGCCACACCCUCCACUCAGCUCCUCCCAAGGGGCCACAGCCACCUGGAGCUACUGCACUUUCAGUUCCCAGAGUGACCACACCAUUUCACACAUCCACCCUAUACUCGUGCUUCCUCUUCCUAUCCCUCCCUGUCUCCUUCUUCCCUUCUUCCUGUUCUUUCUUCCUGAUUAUUGAACUGUAUGCUAAGCGCUGUCCUGGUCACUGAGUAAUAAACCAGACAGAAAUCCUGGCUUGGUAGAAUUUAUGAUCUUUGGACUCCUCUGCCCUAAACCUCUUCUUUUGGCACAAUCCUAUGAAUCCUUCCAUCCUGCAGCUGGGCAGGGCGCAUCCCCUCCAGAGGGGCCUUGCCAGGACUCCUUCUUGGCUCCA